AAACUUUCAACAACGGAUCUCUUGGUUCUGGUAUCGAUGAAGAACGCAGCGAAAUGCGAUAAGUAAUGUGAAUUGCAGAAUUCAGUGAAUCAUCGAAUCUUUGAACGCACAUUGCGCCCGCCAGUAUUCUGGCGGGCAUGCCUGUCCGAGCGUCAUUU
rnacentral:rRNA from 1 species